UUGUAUUGGAUGAUAGAAAUUUAAACCCUUUUUAAAGUAUCAAUUGGAGGGCAAGUCUGGUGCCAGCAGCCGCGGUAAUUCCAGCUCCAAUAGCGUAUAUUAAAAUUGUUGCAGUUAAAAAGCUCGUAGUUGAAGUUCUGCUAAAAGUAACCGGUCUGCUUUUAAUAAAGGUGGUAUCUUGGUGUGUAUUUAGCAAUGAUGUCCUUUGAAGUGUUUUUUACUUUAUUGUAAUAAAGCAUAUUCAGGACUUUUACUUUGAGAAAAUUAGAGUGUUUCUAGCAGGCUAACGCUUUGAAUACUGCAGCAUGGAAUAAUAAGAUAGGAUUUUAGUUCUACAUUAUUGGUUUUAAGAGCUAAAUUAAUGAUUGAUAGGGACAGUUGGGGGCAUUUGUAUUUAACUGUCAGAGGUGAAAUUCUUAGAUUUGUUAAAGACAAACUACUGCGAAAGCAUUUGCCAAAGAUGUUUUCAUUAAUCAAGAACGAAAGUUAGGGGAUCGAAGACGAUCAGAUACCGUCGUAGUCUUAACUAUAAACUAUGCCGA
rnacentral:rRNA from 1 species